rnacentral:lncRNA from 10 species
UAUAUCCUAUUUGGAGCCUUAAUGAAUUACUACACUCUUAAUGAAUUACUACACUCUUAAUGAAUUACUACACUCUUCUUCCAGUAUCUCUACUCCCUGGCUCUAGUCCAUGCCCUAUAAUAAGACCUUCUUAUCUCAAUCAGGUGCUCAGUUGUAAUGUAAUUGUUGUUGCUAACCAGGUUUUGGUUGGUUAAAACUUGUGAUUCAAAAAGAUAACUCUUCCCUCAAUGAGUGUGUGGGUUUAAGGAUGUAGUACUCCUGUCUAUAUGGAGGCAGUAAUAAUUGAGAUGUAAAUGGGCUUUAUGUUGUACCAAGUGGUAUAGGAUGAAGGUUCUGAAAAUACUGACAGGAGAAGACUAGAGAUAUAAGUAUGAGAGAAAAGGAUGGAUAGAAUUAAAUCUGGAUGUUACUUAGAGAAACACUUGGGAAAAGCUCAGGAAGCAUGGGAAACUGGAGCAGAGACAGGAGGUUGUAAGGAUGCUUGGAGAGUCCAAUGAGAGAAGGGCAUAAGCUUUAUAUAGAUCAGUUAUCUAGAAAAGCCUUGAAAAGAAGCAGCAGCUUCAAUCACUUCAUCUAAGCAGACUGAAGGAACCUUGAGAUGAGAAAUUUGAUAAAGAGCUUUAGGAUGGAAUCCAAAUAUUAAAUACAACUGCCCAAGCAGUAUCCGAAGGUUGCGGGGAACAUUAUAUCUUCAGUUGGGAGUGAAAGCAGUAACUGGUGGCCAGGACAAAGCUGAAUUACCAGCUGACCUGGCAAUGAAUUUUGAGGAACAAUCUAUUAAAAUUGGGUUUAGUGAGUUAAGAAGCAUCAAAGCUGGUUUAAGUAGCCAGACUGUAUUCCUGUGACUCUGAAUAUUCUGAAAUUUCCUCACUGUAGAACAAUGUCAUAUUAAAACCCAAGUGACUGACUGGGCUGAAAUAACAGGAGCCAGAAAGCAGAGAAAGCAAGAGACAUACAAGGAUAAUAAAAAGAAAAACCCUUGGCCCAUAAGGUGGUGACAGGGAAAUUUACCAGUCAUGGAAUUCUAGGAAGAUUCUCUCUAGUGGUUGCUCUGAUAUGUUUUUGUACCAAAGUAUAAAGAUAAUUAUUUUGGGUUGUAGGAUAUUUCUAGUACCCUUCAAAUCAUGCCCAUGUCUAGUACUGAGGAGGAACUGAGGUAGGUC